rfam:Pseudomonas chlororaphis subsp. aureofaciens 30-84 chromosome, whole genome shotgun sequence.
ACCCCGGUAUUAUUGCUGUUAUGGGUUUAAAUCGAGCUUAGCCUUGUUCAUUUUUUUACACAACACCCCCGUAAAAAAUACAACACGGCCCGCUCAAGGCCGUGGCGGCCAAGCCCUCCGAAGCCAGAAAAGCGCCCCAAAAAUGCCCCGCAAGCGCUUUUUUAGGGCAA